CCUACGGGUGGCUGCAGUGAGGAAUAUUGGUCAAUGGACGAGAGUCUGAACCAGCCAAGUAGCGUGAAGGAUGACUGCCCUAUGGGUUGUAAACUUCUUUUAUAUGGGAAUAAAACGUUCCACGUGUGGGAUUUUGUAUGUACCAUAUGAAUAAGGAUCGGCUAACUCCGUGCCAGCAGCCGCGGUAAUACGGAGGAUCCGAGCGUUAUCCGGAUUUAUUGGGUUUAAAGGGAGCGUAGGUGGAUUGUUAAGUCAGUUGUGAAAGUUUGCGGCUCAACCGUAAAAUUGCAGUUGAAACUGGCAGUCUUGAGUACAGUAGAGGUGGGCGGAAUUCGUAGUGUAGCGGUGAAAUGCUUAGAUAUCACGAAGAACUCCGAUUGCGAAGGCAGUUCACUGGACUGCAACUGACACUGAGGCUCGAAAGUGUGGGUAUCAAACAGGAUUAGAUACCCUUGUAGUC
rnacentral:rRNA from 1 species